AUUCCCUGGGCGGUAUGGCCCCACCCUAGAGGGACAGGCUUGACAGAUCCCCCUCUUCCCCCCCUGCAGCUUCUGGAGACAGGCGGGGAGCUCAUUGUCACCACCAGCAGCUUCUGAAUGGGGGUAUGCGCUGAAGCAUCAGUAGGAAGUACGUCCAGUUACAAUGUAGCAGGUCUCUAGGAGGCAAGGCAUCUGGUUCAUUGCUAUUAAGUUUCCUCUCCCUUAGCCUUGGCUCCGCCAGAGAUGGUUAAAUCCCAGUCUGGAAUAUUGGCCGUCCCUGUGGAUGGGAAGAUUGACUAGCUCUGCCCCUUCCCCGGGAGGCUAUCCGAGCAUGCAGGUGAGAAUCUGGAAGGGUGUUGCUGGAUGGAGCUCUCAGGCAAGGGCUGUGGCUGCCAGGCCUGGUGCCGUGUCCUGUGCCCAGCAGGCUGGGGGCUGGGAUGAAACCUACCCCGUGGCGGGACAUCUUCUCCCGGGCUGGCCUGGCCCUGGGCUGCCCUUCUGCUGCUUUCUUUGAAGGCUAACCUCUCCUGCAAAGAUCUCGUCAUCCUUGGAGUCUGAACUGCCCUCCUGGCUUUGUGGCACCUGGAGUAAUGGGUCUGGAAAGGCCGCUUUUCCUGGUCCAGAAACAAGGUAUGUCUGUUAGCUGUGACCCUCUCCAGAGGGUGUGGACCUGUCACAAGAGAGAAGGACCUGGACGAGACAAGGGCCUGACCCUGAAGGCAGGCAGGGCUGGCCUCCGGCUGGUGCUGGGGUCGGGGUGCAGAGGAAACGUGGCCACUCUGUGUCCUCCCCUGUCCUAGCAGGUAUUCUUUGGGGUUUCCCGUGGCGACACAUGCCUCUAAGUGCCCCCCACCUCCUGGCACUCCGGCGGCCUGAAUUAGGCUGGUUCAGGCCAUGCCCUGUUCCUCCUGUGCGGGCUGUUCAUCCCGCAGCCCCAUUCAAGGAAGCAUGUGGGAACACAGAGUGAGGGGUGUGUGUGUGCGACAUUUUUAUAAGGCCAGCCUUGAAGAGGUUCGGAUGCUUAGCACAUGUUUAGCUUGUGAACAGACACCUUUCGGGGAUGCCUGAUGACUCAGAUGUGGGUCUCACAGUUUCGGGAGCUGGAUGCAGGUGUGUGGCAGACAUUGCCAGUCCCGUGCUACGUCGGGUGCUGGGCAGGACAGGGUGCAGGCAGCCUUUGUGAAAACCGUGCAGGGACGGUGGGAGGGAGGUAUGUGUGCCACCCAGCCUUGCCCACAAGGUCCCGAGGUCCCCAGGGAGUGCCCUUCCCUCCGGAGGGGUCUGUGUUCAGUUUCUGUCAGGAAGGUUUUAGAAGGAAGAACGCUCGGGACUUGACCAACCUCCUUGGGGUAGAAGCAGGAUCCUUCUCACGGUCAGUGGGGCUGGAAGCAGGCUUCGCUCGUGGAAGCCAGGCUCUCAGACGUGGGGGCGACCGCCCAUGCCCUUUGCCCUCUUGGUUUUACAGUGAAGCCACCCCAAGGCGGGCGGGUUGGUCGCCCCCAUCCCCACAGUGGGACCGCAGGUGCCUGGCUGGUUGGAGGUGCAACAGCCUGCCUGCCGGACGCCUCCCACCGUGCACUGCUGUCAAACUUGCAUUUCUGGUUGAUUAACCGGGAAAAUCUGCCUUCCUGCUGGAACGUUGCCUCCAGGGGAACCUUUUGUCUCAGGUUUCAGAAUUGCUUUGUUUCCUCCUGGUUCUGACCGGUCUGGGGGUCACAUUAGCAUCUUCGCAACGGUCCCGUGUUCUGUGCGUGGAGGUUUUCCACAGUUGAAACAUUCUGGCUUGAGUUAAAAAACAUUCUAGUGAGGUCAGCAGUCCUUUCAGCAGACGGCUGUAUCUUUUACACCCUGGGCCGUGCGGGAGGGGGCCUCUCUCCCAGCCUCCUCUCUCAGACCCUGCUUCUCGCCAUUUCCCUGUUUGCAUCUCAGGCUCCUUGGGAAGGUGAGACGCUCAGCCGUGGACACGCCCCGAGCCGCCCUGAAGGGCCCGCCUCGGUUCAAAGGGCUCGUUAACAACAGUGCUGUUGGUUGACUUCACUUUGACCCUCGCUUCCUGGUCGGGGUGAACAUAGUUGAAGUGUAUGCCCGCCGCCCGUGCGGCACAGCCUCACGCGGCUGUGCAGCUGAGUGUGAGCGUUCUGCUCUCAAAGGAAAGGGAUGGUUAUUCAGAGGCUGGGACUUGUGAUGGGACACGAUGGGGGAUAAUGUGAGAAAAAGGGUGUAUGCGUAUAUACACACACCUACGCGUGUGUGCACGACUGGGUCCCUUUGCUGCACGGCGGAAAUGGACAGAACACUGUCUGGCAACUAUAAGAAGAAGAAGUAAAGAGGGCUGUGAGUUUCGGGGAAGCCGUGCAUCCGGUCCGUGGGGCCAGGGUGUGAAACCCUGCUCAGAGGUUUAUUGAGCGGACAUUUGAGACGGAGCUGAAGCCUGUCUGGGUCUCUUGCAGCUGCUGAUAAUGAAGCAGGGAAAUUGCAGACGAACUUGUCUGCUUCUGACACGUGGUCGGAUUUAGUCCAACUCAGUGACUGCUUCCGGAAGCCACUUACUUCUGGAAGAUGUCGGGCCGCUUGGCUGUACGGGGUCGUGUCACUGUGGAUGGUUGGCAUUGUCCCCUGCCCCUGCUGCUUCUGCUUGUGGACAUCAACGCAUUCAGCCCCAGUGGGCCCCCCGACCCCAGCAAGCGCUGCCCCUGCAGGAAGCUGACCCCGAGGCUCCAGCCCUCGUGUCCCCUGCACUGACAGUCUUUGUUCUGGCCCGUCGGCUGCUGCUUUAUGUUGGACAGAUGAAACCCUGUUUUGGUUCUGAAAGCGCCAGGGACCAGAACCGUUGUCUCCACACCCUGUUAUCCUGCCGAGUGCCUGUUGGGUACACAGCGUUCUGAUGCAGGAGGGGCAGGCAGGGCCCAGAAGGGGCACCCCCAGCCUUGGAGGACAAGGGUGGGCCACAGAUGGCAGGCGUCCACCAGCUAGCACAGCCAGGUCCAUGCUUGUUGCUUCAACAGCCCAGGCUUCUCAUAAUCCCUUCAUGACACACAUUCUUAGUCGGGGCGAACAUUGAUUCUUGGGAGGAGAAGGCAAAUCCUGGCUAGUACAGUCGUGCUGGGGGUCGUACAUGUGUAUCUCUGCUAUUAAAGUGUCACGGGGGGUGUUCCCCUUGUGGCUGAGCGCAUUAAGAACCCAGCUAAUAUCCAUGAGGAUGUGGGUUCGAUCCCUGGCCUCGCUCAGUGGGUUAAGGAUCUGGCCUUGCCACAAACUGUGGUAUAGGUUGCAGAUGUGGCUUGGAUUUGGUGUGGCUGUGGCUGUGGUGUCACCCAGCAGCUGCAGCUCCGAUUCAGCACCUAGUCUGGGAACUUCCACAUGUUGCAGGUGCAGC
ensembl:lncRNA